CUAUUGUUUUUGUUGCUAACGUUACUUUCACAAGGAUGAAUAAACAUUUAAGGCAUUUAUUUAAACAACAAGUAUUAUAACUUGGUCUGUAAGACAAGUUAACAAUGGAGCCAAGAUUGCUAUACUGGUAAAGAGAUCAUGGAGCAUGAUGAUGAACUGAAUGAUCUGCGGCUUCAGUUUCAAGCGCUACAAAAACAGCAGGAGAAAAGAAAACUGGAUAGGAAAAAGGAGAAAGUACCAAAUAGGCUUAAUAAUGGUGUUACCCAGGAUGAUUUGGAUCUGUCUAAGAAAGGUAUUUUGGCAGACAAUCUUGAAGACAGACUGCUACAGAAUGACAAUCAAAAUUUGAUGGACCAGCUGAGGGAGCUUAAGGAUGAAAAUGGUCGGCUCUUCAAACUUCUAAGUGAAAAGGAUUUUGAAAUUCAACACCUGAAAAAGAAAAGAGAAGGAGAACGACUGUUUUUAACAGGCACAUCUGGCUUGGCAGGAGAUAUAGCAGCCACCAAGAUUGUUGAGCUGUCCAAGAAAAAUAGAGAGCUGACUGCUGAAAUUGAGCGAGAAAAGAUUAAAUCCAAGCAAAACAGCAACAAAGUCAAAGAGCUUGAGAAAGAGCUGCAGGCCGCUUUGGUGCACUCUCUACCUGGGCAAAAGGUAGACACAAAGUCACAAGACAAGAGGUCAUCUGAAGACUGUGAGCAGGAAAAUCCUGUGGUGAAAUCACUGCAGGAAAAAUUUGCUGCUGCCCAGCUGAAAGUGAUUGAGUAUCGCAAUCAGGUUCAAGCCGUCAAACAGGAGUUGAAAGUAGCUCAGAAGGUUUUGAUCAGUGAAGUUGGAGAGGAGGUCAACCUUCAGCAAUUACUAAGCUGCCCUGGGAGCUUUAGAGGUCGCUCUCAGCAGAUACUGGCUCUUCAGACAAGGGUGAGAGACCUUGAGCAGCAGUUGAAGCAGUCAACACAGCGAAGACAACCAAAUGUCCUGAGUAUAGAGGAAGAGUUUCUGGGCAUGGGGGUCCUUCAAAAAAAACCUCCUGAAAACAGGAACCUCGGCCACAUCCGCACCAUUGAGAAGGAGAAGAGGGAAGCGUUAGAGAGGAUCUCAGUGGACCAUGAGGCCCUCCUGAAAGACCACGAGGAUGUGAAGAAAAAGCUGGAAGCCUCUAAAGCCAGGAACAAAUCUCUGUCCACAGAAAUAAAAACUCUGAAGGUACAGAUCUCCACCCUCCUGAAGAAGGGCAAACAUGACGAUGAGCUUGUCGAUGCCCUGCUGAAGCAGCAAACCCGGAUGCAGGAGAUGCUGAGACAGCUCAGCCAACAGCAAAACCUACAGAGCAAGGAGAUCCAGCAGAGCCCAAGACAAAAGCUUAGCAGUGAGCCUUCAGAGCACAACACUCUCAUCCAGAAUCUUAAGCAGAUAGUUGCUAAGAGAGAGGCAAAGAUCAAAGAACUACAGGAGAAAAUCCAGCAGCUCUCUAUCAAGGAGGAGGGCAUGGAAAGACCGAAGUCCAGCCUCAAGACAACAAUUUGCAGUUCAGGAUUUCCCCCUGAAGAGGGAGACAUUAACAAGCGAAUAACAUCUUCAGGAUCAGUUUCUAAAUUUGGUCAUAAAUUGGUGCUGCCUGCUGUGGGAAAUAAUAUAGAAUUCAAGGGUCCAAGUUCUUCAAAAUGUCCACAGUGUUCAGCUGAUUUGAGCACAUUGAUCACUAAGUGUAGUGAAUAUAAAAUUAUCUGCACAGAGAAGGACAGACUCCUUGAGCUGGUUAAUGUCCUACAGACAAGCAGUCCAAUGAAUGGCCAAUAGUGAUGGCUCAGGCAUAUCUGUGAAAUUCAAGGACGUCAAUCAAGGUUAAAAAAGUAGAGAAAGAGACAAACCAGAUGUUUUUGGAGGCAGAACAGAAGUACCUGGAGGAGCGCCACCGGAUAGUAAUCCUGGAGCAGCAGCUGGAGAGGUCAAAAUUAGAUUCAAAGUAAGACCAAUAAAAGCAGCAAGGGUAAAACUGGUAUGCCAAGACUCAGUGACAGCAUGAUGCUACAAUGUCAAGCAGAUUUUUAUGUUAGUCUUUUUUUUUUUAAUGCUCUGACUCAUCAAUUUCUCCCUUGACUGUCUCGCUUUUGGCUAUCACGACUCUGUCCCUCAGGAGCAGCAUCCCUCAGUACCAGGGUGGCAGGAGUCUCUGAGCAACAGGGACUGUCCACAGACACGCUGAGUAAACUGUACAAUGAGUCCAUUGUUAUUUGUAAACAUUUUAUUUCUAACUUUGACAACACUGUAGUUGUCUUGAGCUUGGUUCUGGGGAAAAAAUAUAUUUUUACACCAGAUGACAGAAAUAAUGAUGCAUGGCAAUGGACACACUGCCUAUGGACCGUGUCCAUUCUAACACUCAUGUUUGGGCUGCACAGAGAUGUUCAUGUUGCUCUUGUCAUGGAUGUUGUCUCCUGGCUGGUCAUUUAGCUGGAGGAAACGGAGGCGCUGAGGGCACAGCUAAAGAGCACUCUCCACCAUGACCUACAGUUCUGCAGUGACGUGAUGAGACAAGUCAAGCAUGUUUUCCUGCAGGCUCUGUGACAGCCCAGACAAGACACUAACCAGGGGACUGGCUGGUCCCUGCUAAGCCUCACGUCCAGCUGAGCCCUACCCUCUCCUGUCACACGUAACAAACAGCAGCCUGCAGGAAACCGGCUCUCCUUACAAGAUCAUACGGAUCUCCGUGUUUUUCUCCCAUUUGAACUCUCAAAGACGUGAUGGGAUGGUUCAUUUGUGCAUUCGAUUACCUCGGUUUAACCAGUUGACCUUGGGUUGCAGAGCUUUCAACCCUGACAAAUGUUCCUACUGAUUGCAAAAAUGUUGCUGAUAGGAUGUCUCCCCAUGGUUUUAUAUCUUGUCUGUGUGCUAUUUUAUAAAUGUCACUAUAGAUGUAUUUUACUCCACUGGCAGCCUGAAGUGCAUUACAUGUAUACAGAGCUGUUUUUAAAGUAUAUUUGUAAACUAAUGAAACAUCCAGUUUAAUCAAUAAAAAGGGACAAAAUCUUCUUCUAAAUCUAAAUCUUCUAAAUAUAUUGUUUUACGUUCAUGGCCGUGACCCUCCUAGACUUUUUAAAAAGUGUUUUUUGGCUCCAGAUAGUUGUACAUAAACGUGAGACAGGCCAAUCCAAAUAGUCAACACCCCAGUUAAGUUCCCAAAAACUUCAAUAUUCCUUUUAAAUUUUACUGCUAAUUACUUCUGACUCGAAACCAGCUGUGUGGGAAUAGUGGUUGAAAAUGAAUGCGGACUCAAGCUGCACGAACUCCCGCUGUAGUCCUUUAUACACUCCCCAGAGCAUGUCACAUGUAUGUAGAUCUUAGCUUCUUAAUCCAAAGGUUGUCUGGAUGUGCGUGGCCUGGUGGGAGUGGCCUCUACAUUCAUACUAACAUCAGAGUUAUUUUCUUCCGAUGUAGCCAAAAGGAUUUCAGCAGAGCUCCCCCUCCUUCUCCCCUCCCUCCACAUCACGCUUAAUUUAAAACCAUGGCUGAGUUAGUGUGCUGCUUCAAAUACCGCACUAUUUCUUCCAGGACCCUGUGGGAGAUUGGCAGGUCCCCAUUGGACUGAGCGAGAAAGUGCCACAAGACAAAAAUAUCAGUUUGGACAGGAUACAGAAAGCCUUUAUGCUCAGAGUAACAAAAAACAACUUGUAUCGAAUACCUCCUGGAUAUAAGGUGAGGCACCCUUUAAUGUAUUAGAAUGAGUGGUGUCAUUGGAGGAACAGAUGAGAUGAUUAGAUGAGCCGGAUGACUACAGGCCCUGCGACAUUGACAGACAUGAAUCAAAUGUAGUAAUGUGCAUCAAAAAGGGUGUUGAUGGAGCAAAUACUUGUCAUGGUCCCUAACUGCAUCCGAUUCCAGGGAAAAUGUUUAGUUUAGUAAAUUUUUGUUUGGUUGUAUUUUUUAUUUUUUUUAAUCUGCCAUAACAUCUUAAUAUAAAAAUGGAGUCCGUGUUUGUGAGCAUUUACAAUAUUUUCCGAAACAUGUAAUCUAAAGCUUUUAUUUCAUGUGACAGUUGAUUUUGAUUUUAAAUAAAGCUUAUUGCUGUUGAAUACUCA